UUGAGGCUUCUAUAAAAGGAGCCUCAAGGCUCCAAUUUAUUCACAAUGCCCCAUCACUUCAUGGGCACGCAGUGAGCUGGACUAACUGGCUCGUGCAUUCAUGGAGCCGAAAUAGUUCGGCUUCAUAGUAGUAAAUAUUUUUUGAACACUAUCUUUGCACUUGCGACGAAAGGUUGCUGACACCUUGCCCCCUCUCUGUCAAGGAUCUCAUCUGCCCUCGCAAGCCAGCGUUCUUCUCCGAAAAACUUGAGUAAUUAUUUGUGGGUUUUGGUAAUCUGCCCCUCCCAAGCCAGCGUUCUUAUCCGAAAAACUUUUGAGAGUGCGGCGCUUCAAUAUAUGUUGGGUCGUUAUUUAUUCAUUUUGGUGGGGACUUCUGUGCUUCUGUGCCUUAAUAUAAGGUGAGUUAUGGGUUCUUCUCGUUCGAGUCUGUGUUCUACUCAUUGGGUUAUUUUGACAGUGUGUUGUAAUUUAAGGUGAAUUCUUAUUGAUUCUGUGUUGAUGAGGCUUUGGGUUCUUUGAUCAUUAUUUGUUCAAAUGUGUUUUUGAUAUAUUGAAUUGUGAUGUUUUGACA